GACGAACGCUGGCGGCGUGCUUAACACAUGCAAGUCGAACGGAAAGGCCCAGCUUGCUGGGUGCUCGAGUGGCGAACGGGUGAGUAACACGUGGGUGAUCUGCCCCUAACUUCGGGAUAAGCUUGGGAAACUGGGUCUAAUACCAGAUAGGACAAUCGUUUAGUGUCGGUUGUGGAAAGUUUUUUCGGUUAGGGAUGAGCCCGCGGCCUAUCAGCUUGUUGGUGGGGUAAUGGCCUACCAAGGCGUCGACGGGUAGCCGGCCUGAGAGGGUGGACGGCCACAUUGGGACUGAGAUACGGCCCAGACUCCUACGGGAGGCAGCAGUGGGGAAUAUUGCACAAUGGGCGCAAGCCUGAUGCAGCGACGCCGCGUGGGGGAUGACGGCCUUCGGGUUGUAAACCUCUUUCGACAGGGACGAAGCUUUGGUGACGGUACCUGUAUAAGAAGCACCGGCUAACUACGUG
rnacentral:rRNA from 1 species